CAGUCGCCGCGGGAAUACGGAGGGUGCAAGCGUUAUCCGGAUUUAUUGGGUUUAAAGGGUCCGUAGGCGGACUUAUAAGUCAGUGGUGAAAGCCUGUCGCUUAACGAUAGAACUGCCAUUGAUACUGUAAGUCUUGAGUAUAUUUGAGGUAGCUGGAAUAAGUAGUGUAGCGGUGAAAUGCAUAGAUAUUACUUAGAACACCAAUUGCGAAGGCAGGUUACCAAGAUAUAACUGACGCUGAGGGACGAAAGCGUGGGUAGCGAACAGGAUUAGAUACCCGCGUAGUCCCUGUCUCUUAUAA
rnacentral:rRNA from 1 species